UUCUUGAGAUAAGGAGUGCAUUUCCAGAUGGUUUUCUAGCGAUAAGUUAAUUUUUUGUUUUCCACAUAUAUGUUUUCCAGAUUGUUUUCUCAAAAUAAAAAAUCCUCUUGAAGGAUGGAUUUGUUAAUGAUAUUUUAACACAUCUGUCAUCUUGUGAUCUUGAGAAAACAAAGUUUGCUUUAUCGAGAUUAACUCGUUCUCUCAAGAAAACUAAGUGUAUGCGGAAAACGUCUGCUCUAGGCUUCCGUACUUAGGGGAUUUUGACAAAAAAAAAAAAAAUGAAAAAUGAAAAAUAACUGCGGAUAAUAACCCUUUUCGCCGUCCUACAACGCGUCUAUUCAUCCAGCCACCGGGGGCGCUGUUACAAAAGUAACAGGUCCGCUCUGCCUGGCUUGAGCGGACCUGUCUGGAUUUUACAUCUCAAAACUUGAUGAGAAGUUGAUAUAGCGUUACAAAUUAAGCGAUGAAUCUUCACCUUCAAGCAUCUGGAAAUGUUUCUUUGGAUGAAUCACACUGGAGCAGCUGCAGGAAUAUUUUGAGGUUUCCCAUCAAACCAGAAAGCAGUGACUCUCAGGUGUGACCUUAAAAUACAUCCACAGGGAGAAAAAUCUGUGCGUCUUUCAGUUUUGUCUGUAAACUUCCUGCCUCAUCCGUAGAUGGAUACGUUGAUACCACUGAAGCUCGCUGCGAUAGACAAAGACACAUUUCAGACACAUGAUGUCAUUGCUUAUGUCUCAUAAUAGCUUUAUGCUAACUGACUGCCCCACGAAGAGGCGGACCUGAUCAGGGACAUGAAGCACAACAACACAAGCAGCUGCAGUAAAAGUCCACUCAACAAAGGCACACAGCAAUAUUUAGUAAAUAUUGCCAAUAUUUUCUGUAUAAACUCCUGGUUUUAUUUUAAUAAUCAGUAUUUUAAA